GAUGAACGCUGGCGGCGUGCCUAAUACAUGCAAGUCGAGCGAACAGACGAGGAGCUUGCUCCUUCGACGUUAGCGGCGGACGGGUGAGUAACACGUAGGUAACCUACCUAUAAGACUGGGAUAACUUCGGGAAACCGGAGCUAAUACCGGAUAAUAUUUCGAACCGCAUGGUUCGAUAGUGAAAGAUGGCUUUGCUAUCACUUAUAGAUGGACCUGCGCCGUAUUAGCUAGUUGGUAAGGUAACGGCUUACCAAGGCAACGAUACGUAGCCGACCUGAGAGGGUGAUCGGCCACACUGGAACUGAGACACGGUCCAGACUCCUACGGGAGGCAGCAGUAGGGAAUCUUCCGCACUGGGCGAAAGCCUGACGGAGCAACGCCGCGUGAGUGAUGAAGGUCUUCGGAUCGUAAAACUCUGUUAUUAGGGAAGAACAAACGUGUAAGUAACUGUGCACGUCUUGACGGUACCUAAUCAGAAAGCCACGGCUAACUACGUG
rnacentral:rRNA from 1 species